GAACCUGGAAUUCAAACGGCUGGGUAGGAAGCACGCUAGCAGGGGCCUCUGGCCUUGCUGAGGGUCCCUGUUUCCCCUUUUCCUUCCUUUUCACCCAACAAAACCCUGCUUUACUCACCCUUCAAACCAUCUAUGAGCCUAAAUUGUCGUGGUCGUGGAAUGGACAAGGACCCAGUCUUUAGCUGAACUAAGGGAAAGUCCUGCUUUUUGGCGCGCAACAGGGGAGCUCAAGAAACAGGCCUCACUCACGGCAUAUGGAACUAACCACGCCCCUAACUAAGAAGGCACACCUUAGUUGCAGUUAGCACACAAUUAAAGCAACUCUCCAAGUUUUACCUUAAAGUUCAAAAUUGCUAGGAGUUGAAACUACUAGAAAUAUAUUUACAUGCAAGAGUCAAAGAAACUUUGAACUAUUUAUGGCCUUUAAUAAUUAAGUAAGGUAUACUCCUGUGAUCAAGACUUGGAGCAUAUUUGUUUCUCUCUGCCUGGUUCCUCUAGAAAUUGGAAACUAUCAGAACAGAGACCAACUCCGUUUCCCGAUCCCUUUGCAAUCUGCAUUGAACCAUGAGUCAAGUUCUUGAUAAAGGAGUGAAAAUGGAUGACAUUUAAGGCACAUCUGAAGAUGGGGAAACCACAGCACAGAAUAAGGCUGGGCCCUUGAAUCAAUAAAUGAAGGAGAACUACUCAAGAGAACAAAACCACCAGCAAUAUCCACCUGUAUUUGUCUUUUCAUAAUGUGUGACACAUGUGCUCAUGGAUUAUUGUCCGAAGCAAGACAUGUGACCAAGCCUAACAUCAACUGGGUGAAGAGCUAUAUGUUCCUUUCUCAAGAGGCACUACAAGUGACAUGCCACUGGGCAGGUAAGAUCCUCUCAAAUGAAGGGACUGUGAAUAUUUGACUAAUAAUACAAAUAUUUACUGGAUAUUUUACAGUGAUAUUUACAAAUAUCACUGGCUAACUUUUCCCAGCUUGAUAUCCUGAAAGAGGCACAGUUUCAGUAGUAAAUGGUAAAUUUACCUUGAUUGCACUGAAGGCUAUUUCUUUAAAACUAUUUUCUUUCCUUUUGACUAUUCCAUGUAUCCUUUCAGAAGUAAACAUUGUUUUUACCCCUUUAAAAAGUCUACUUAUACCAUCUACUUAAUUUGGAAUUUAUCUAACAUUGCCAGUUUGAUAUAGAUACAGAAAUUUAAUGAGAAAAUGCAGUUCUAUAUUUAGAAUAUGGAUUCUUCAAGAUGUUUCUGACACACAUUUGUUUUCAUUGAAACAUUAAACAAUUAUUUAGCUA
rnacentral:lncRNA from 1 species